UAACUGAAGAGUUUGAUCAUGGCUCAGAUUGAACGCUGGCGGCAGGCUUAACACAUGCAAGUCGAGCGGGGGAAAGU
rnacentral:rRNA from 1 species